rnacentral:rRNA from 1 species
GACGAACCGUGCGAACGUUGUUCGGAAUCAUUGGGCGUAAAGCGCACGUAGGCGGUUCGUUAUGUCGGAUGUGAAAGCCCUUGGCUUAACCGAGGAAGUGCAUCCGAAACUGGCGAGCUAGAGUACUAAAGAGGAUCGCGGAAUUCCCGGUGUAGAGGUGAAAUUCGUAGAUAUCGGGAGGAACACCAGUGGCGAAGGCGGCGACCUGGACGGACAUUGACGCUGAGACGCGAAAGCGUGGGGAGCAAACAGG